AACACAGGCAAGCCGAGCGGGAUUGUUUCUUCGGAAAUGAGAGAGCGGCGUACGGGUGCGGAACACGUGUGCAACCUGCCUUUAUCUGGGGGAUAGCCUUUCGAAAGGAAGAUUAAUACUCCAUAAUAUAUUGAACGGCAUCGUUUAAUAUUGAAAGCUCCGGCGGAUAGAGAUGGGCACGCGCAAGAUUAGCUAGUUGGUGAGGUAACGGCUCACCAAGGCGAUGAUCUUUAGGGGGCCUGAGAGGGUGAUCCCCCACACUGGUACUGAGACACGGACCAGACUCCUACGGGAGGCAGCAGUGAGGAAUAUUGGUCAAUGGGUGCAAGCCUGAACCAGCCAUCCCGCGUGAAGGACGACUGCCCUAUGGGUUGUAAACUUCUUUUGUAUAGGGAUAAACCUACCCUCGUGAGGGUAGCUGAAGGUACUAUACGGAAUAAGCACCGGGUAACUCCGUGCCAGCAGCCGCGGUAAUACGGAGGGGGGAAGCGUUAUCCCGGAUUUAUGGGUUUUAAAGGGUCCGUAGGCGGACUUAUAAGUCAGUGGUGAAAGCCUGUCCCUUUACGAUAGAACUGCCAUUGAUACUGUAAGUCUUGAGUAUAUUUGAGGUAGCUGGAAUAAGUAGUGUAGCGGUGAAAUGCAUAGAUAUUACUUAGAACACCAAUUGCGAAGGCAGGUUACCAAGAUAUAACUGACGCUGAGGGACGAAAGCGUAGGGAGCGAACAGGAUUAGAUACCCUGGUAGUCCACGCCGUAAAAGAUGCUAACUCGUUUUUGGGCUUUAGGGUUCAGAGACCAAGCGAAAGUGAUAAGUUAGCCACCUGGGGAGUACGCUCGCAAGAGUGAAACUCAAAGGAAUUGACGGGGGCCCGCACAAGCGGUGGAUUAUGUGGUUUAAUUCGAUGAUACGCGAGGAACCUUACCAAGACUUAAAUGGGAAUUGACAGCUUUAGAAAUAGAGCUUUCUUCGGACAAUUUUCAAGGUGCUGCAUGGUUGUCGUCAGCUCGUGCCGUGAGGUGUUAGGUUAAGUCCUGCAACGAGCGCAACCCCUGUCACUAGUUGCCAUCAUUCAGUUGGGGACUCUAGUGAGACUGCCUACGCAAGUAGAGAGGAAGGUGGGGAUGACGUCAAAUCAUCACGGCCCUUACGUCUUGGGCCACACACGUAAUACAAUGGCCGGUACAGAGGGCAGCUACACAGCGAUGUGAUGCAAAUCUCGAAAGCCGGUCUCAGUUCGGAUUGGAGUCUGCAACUCGACUCUAUGAAGCUGGAAUCGCUAGUAAUCGCGCAUCAGCCAUGGCGCGGUGAAUACGUUCCCGGGCCU
rnacentral:rRNA from 1 species